GCCGGUUUGAGUCUUCCAUGCUUGUCUCUCGGGGCCACAAAACGAGUUCCUGGUAACUCAACUGAUAAUGCCCUGGGCGAAAGUCCCCGGGCCUAGGAUAGAAAGUAUCAAGGUGUAAAAAGUGUGCACAAAACACCCACCACCCCUGUGGUGGGUGGUGCAUUCGCCUAUAUUCUGCGGAAUUUCGCCUGGCGUAUGGAUGAAGAGGAUUUUAUCCGAAUCCUUACGCGCCAGGUUGUCUGCGGAAAUCUGCCAGAGUAAUCUUAGAUAUGGACGAGUUGGUAGGACUCGGCGGGUGGUGUUCACACACUUUCUCGUCUGAGAAACCGCCUACACAGAAUGGGGCUUACAUUGGGAAACUCGGACGGCGCACUCCCUUUUU
ensembl:ncRNA RNaseMRP:RNA Ribonuclease MRP RNA